ACUUUAAGAACAACUUCAAAAGAUUGAUAAAAGUGAAGACUAAAGUUGAUCCUCUAAACUUCUUCAGAAAUGAACAGAGUAUACCUUCUCUCAUGUGUUCAAGGGACAUAAAGAAAUCCUUGUAGCAGAUAAGGUCAUAAUAGAAUAAUGCAAUAUGCUUUUUUAUUUUUCUUUUAUUUCUGUAUUGUUUUUAAAAAAUAAAAGUUUGGCACAAAAAUGCUACACAAAAACGUUUAGUACGUUUUAGGUGGGUGAGCGUGCGGGUAUGGACCGCGGAAAAUAAAAUUGAGGAAUCAAUUUCCGUAAAACAAAAGAUGUAACACAGCAAAAAAAUAAAAUCCAUGGGUGUUAUGCUAGUAAUUGAGUUUGCUUGCAAUCUAGAUGUCAAUAAUGCUUUCUAUGCUGAAUUGGUGGGUGUUAUGCUAGCAAUUGAGUUUGCUCACAAAAAAUGUUGACAUUGUCUGUGGAUUGAAACAUACUUACAAUUGGUGACUAUGGCCUUCAAAUCUCGCUCUAUAGUUCCUUGGAACUUAAGAAACAGUUGGCUCAUUUAUAUCACUAUUACUAGUAGUACGCAAUUUAUUAUAUCUCACAAUUUCAGAGAAGUAAAUCAAUGUGUUGAUAGGCUUGCCAAUCUUGGCCUGCAAAUGGACAUUUAUCAUCGAUGGGAUAGCAUUCCUCCGACUAUUUUAAAUGCUUUCAUAAGAAAUAGAUUGAGUUUACCUGAAUAUAGAUUUUGUUAGUCUAUUGCUGUUUGAUCGUAUCCCAUAGAGUAUGUUUGGAUGGUGUAAUUGAAAAUUUUAGAGAGUUUAAAAUUGUAGGCAUUUCAAAUGAUUAAAUUGAUUUGCCUACAUUUCUAAAUAUGUUUAUUUGGACAGACUAAUAAAAAAUUAAAAAUUUCCUUCAUUUCUAAAUAUUUUGUAUAACUAUUAUAAGAUGGAUGGUCAAGAUGAUUCCCAUGAUUUAGGAAUCAUCUUGAGCCGUAGAUGAUCGUUCUCGGUUGGUAAUACUGAUUGGGAUGGUCACACUGUUGGACACGCGGUUGUAUGACAAACUCAAAACUAAACAAACUGCCUAAACUUCUAUUUAUUAAAAAAAAUACACAUAUAAAAUGUUAGAGCACAAUCAAUCACUUUUACACUUACACACAGACACACUUGUUUUUCACUUUCUGGUUUUGUCACCAGAGAUGAAGAAGAUUAGAAAAAGGGAGAAAAUUUUAGAGAGUUUUAUGAAGGAGAAAUAGGAUGCACGGUCAUAUUCAAUGAAUCACUAAGUUGUAAUUUUCUUAUCGACAUCAUCAAUUUAUUCAACACUUGAAAGAGCUAUAAUUGCUCAAGUACAUAACAGAAAUAAAACACGAACAAACUAGUUGUUAUAACAGAAAACUAACUCUAUCGACACAGUUACUUGCGCUACAAGAAAACUAUUAUUCUUAACUAAUUUGAAUUAAACUCACCACAUAAAAGAGAAAUAACGAAGCAUAUUACAUUACUCUAUUAUGAACUUAGAUGCUUCAAGGAAUUCUAUCUGUGUCCCUUGGACAAAUGUGAAGGUAUACUUUGUUCAUUUCUGAAGAAGUUUAGAGGAUCAACUUUGGUCUUCACUUUUACCAAUCUUUUGAAGUUGUUCUUGAAGUACUUAACACCCCAAAUACUAGCUUGCUUGUAGCUUGUGUAUCCAUUGUUAUUAUUCACCCCAAUAUCAAGAUCUCUAUAAUUGAUAUAUGCAGCUCUUGGUGACUUUGAAACAAAAGGUUCCAUAAAACUAUACAGUUUUCUAAUCCAAUUCAUUUUAAUUUUUUCCACCUCAUCACUUUCUUGAUGCCAAUGAACCGAGUACAAAAUUUGGUAUAAAUUUCCAUAUCUAUGUGGAAAUGGAAUUUUAGACUCUGAAAUAUUAUUCAUUAUGCCACCAUAAGGAAAAAAAUACACCAUUGAAUCUUUGGCACCAUCUUCAUGAAACAUACGCCACAUUCUUUCUAAUCCAAUUUCAGAAAUGGGAAUUCUCACAAAAUCAGACUUUACUUUGAAAAUAUCCUUUGCAGCUUGUGUUCUGUUGAGCAACAUUUCAGGUGAUUCGCCUUUCGGAAAUCCAUAAAGGUAAAGAACCGAUUCAAUCCAACUCAUCUCAAUACAAUCUUCUCUAACCAAACCAAGUUCUGGAAACUUUUCUUUCAUCAAGGGAAUGAGUUUAUCUACACUUCCAAGAAACAAGGCUUGAAAUAAAGCUUGUACUGUUGAAUUUGACUUACCUUUUUUACUUAAAUUUACCCUUUGCAAGAUAACAUAAAUGGCUAUGUUUUCAUCAAUUGUACUUGUCACAAACUGCCACUUGUGAACAAGCUUUGUUGCAUUUUGAUCCAAUGUUUUUGGCACAUUGAACACUGACACACUUGAUGGAACUUGAACAAGUUUAACCUUCCAUGAAAUUAUGACUCCAAAACUUGCUCCUCCACCUCCUCUAAUAGCCCAAAAAAAAUCCUCACCCAUUGCUUCUCUGUCAAGAAACCUACCCUUCACAUCAAUUAUGUGAGCAUCAAUAAUAUUAUCAGCUGCAAGACCGAAUUUACGCACCAAGUUUCCAUAGCCACCACCACUGAAGUGUCCACCAACACCUACAGUAGGACAAGCACCGGCAGGAAAACCAAGAUUUCGGCUUUUUCGGCUAAUUGUGUAGUAAAGUUCACCAAGUGUUGCACCAGAUUGAACCCAAGCAGUUCUUUUUUCUACAUCUAUUGUAAUUUCUCUGAAGUAUGUGAAAUCAAUGAUGACAAAUGGGACUUCAGAAACAUAGGACCGACCCUCGAAGUCGUGGCCGCCGCUUCGGAUUCGAAUCUGCAGGUCAUGUCUUUGGGAACAGAUUAUGGUUGUUUGAAUUUGGGAAAUAUGUUUAGGUGUGAUAAUGACAAGAGGUUUCGGUGUUGUUUUGGAUGCAAAUCUGAGAUUUUGAGUGGUAAAUUGGAGUAUUGAUGAGUAAGAGGAAUUGGUUUUGGUGUACACAAGUUUAGACAUUGAAGUUGAGUUAUGUGAAUAACUAUAGAGACAUUGUAGGAAAUUUUCUUCAUGUUUAGUAGUAUCAAUUGCAGAAUAUGUGAAUGAAAAGAAAACAGCAAUUAGUACAAUAAUCAAAUAUGAUCUUAGAGGAAUCAUUUUUUGUUGGUUAUGUUAUGCAUAUGCUGCUAGAAAAUUAAUUUAUAAAAUAAUUUCUCUCUAGUAGUAGUGUGGAUAAUAGAUUAAUUAAAUUAAAGCGUGCUAAUUAAAUCUAAUAUGGUAGACAAGUCGGGCAGGGUAUGAGUUCGUUAUCAACUUUACUUCAAAUUGGAAAAUAAUUUUUUUGAAACUUAGUUGUAACCAAAUCAUUUGUGAUUAGGUUUUAAUUUGGGUGGCAUUUAGAAUGCACAAGUGAAACUUUUUGUGUAUCAUACACAAAUGAGUUUUUCACCAUUAAUAUAUUAUUAAAUAAUUGAAUGGCCAAGAUUGAAGAAUGGUUACUUGUUUAAUGAGUCUGGUGUUCAAUUGUUGGUAUUUGCCUUAUGGUGUCUAACAGUAAUAGAAUUGCAUAGAUUCAUUUAUGAAAAAAAUAUUACGUAAAAAUAAUAAAAAUAUUGAAUACUAAAAAAGUAAUAAUUUUUAUCGGAAAAUAGUUCAUAAAAUUGUUUUUAUUUUUUGAAACCGUUCAUAAUUUAUUUUUAGAAAUAAUUCAUAUUUUGAAUGGAAAAUAAAAGUAUUAUUUUUUUUUUCAAAGAAAAAUAAAAUUAGUAUUAUACAACUCUAAUAUAUAUAGGGAAAGUUAAGGGUAUCACCACCAUUUUUUAAUUUAGAAUUAGAACAACUGUGAGAAAAAAAUAGAUUUUUUUUUUAGAACAUGAAACUUUAUCAUGUGUAUAUAUCCUUUAACUAGAAUGAUCAAAUGUUUCUUAUUCUGUUCAAGAUAACAAAUAUUCAUUUAAUACAGGUUUAAUGUUCAUGACAUUCUUCAUUGUAAAGAAACCUGAGAAUGUUGUUGUUUGUUUCUACUCCUAGAUGACAAAUAUUCAUUGAUUAACUCACCCAAACUAAAUAAAAUUACAUGAAAAUUAAGAAAUUAUUAGGAAAAAAAUGAAGCUUCAUUUCACACAGAGGAUGUUGUUGUUUGUAUCUAUUCCCAGAUUCAGAAAAAAUCAUUCAUCUUCAACAAUUUGGUGUUCUUUCUGCAAAAUCCAGAUCUGAGAAAUAAAAAUCCAGAAAUCAUAAAACAAACCUAGAAAUUGGUUGGCUUUAAAUCGCUGCUUUAGAUACGGGAAAACUCUAUGAUCUUCAUGGAGAACCCUAUAUCCAUUAUAAUUCAUUGCUUGGUGUUCGUCAAUCAUUUGGGAGUUCUUCCUAAAAUUCCAAAUUUAAUAAACCAUUUAUCUUCAUCUACAUUAACGUGAUCUUCUCCCUUCCCUUUUUCGUAGCAUAAAGGGAUACACAAGAAAGAUUCAUGCCCAAAAAAAUUUGUCAAAAAAGAUGAGGCGUAGAAAAGUUGGGUGGAUGAGGAAGAUGUGUUGUUGGUUCCAUCAAUGAAAGUGAAAUUGUUAGACAUAGUUGUUGCUGGUUGGUAAAGAAAAAAGAAUUUAUUUGAUUUGUGUUUAGUUGAGUAAUGACAAAAAAUAACUGAGACAACAUAUAUAAUUAUUGAGAUUCAAGUGGUCAAAUAUAUAAAAAUAUAGAAAACAGGCAGUACCGACUAUCGUAAGUAGAAGGCUACUUGGGUAUCAUACACAAAAUCAUUGAUUUGUGCAUGUUAAACGCCACCUUUAAUUUGGGUAGGUGACAACAUACUAUUCAGUGGAGUGCACACUUUCACGCUGUGGUUUUUUGUUUUUUGCUUUUGAGAGCUAAUAAUGUUGACAUGUGAUUGUGGCAGUGAUAAAUGAGUCUCACUGAUUUUCAUGUCGUAUAGGGAAAUGUGUUUCUACACUUGAGAACUAAAAUCUCUUCUAUAUAUAUAUUUGCCUUUGCCCGUGAUCUCGUAUAUACAGCUUUAUGCUGGUACGUAUAUUUGUAUUAUCUUUUUGUUUCUGUUUCUAGUAUUUCUAUUUCACACGUUCGUCCAAAGAAAAUUUUGCUGUCCUGCGUGCUUUGUGCAGAUUAGUUGUGGCAUAAGAAAUGCGAAGAAUAUAGAGGAAGAAGAUUAGAACCUUAAUUUGGAGAAGAAGGUGUUGGGUCCAGCCAUUGUCACAUGGUCAUGGUGCAUGUGAAGAUAGAGAGUUGCAUGUUUGUAAUUUGGUGUGUUGCAUAAGAGCAAGUCUUUUAUGUUUGCAACCCCAAAUCAAAAAAUAUUUAGGUAUUCUCACAUAUAAUGAAAAAAAAUUAAAAGAUAUAAAAUUAAAUGAUGUUAAUUGAUGAGACUAAAUUAAUUUUGUUUUAACUGUUUUUAUUUCAUGUGAUUGUGUCCAAAUAUUUUUGAUUUGAGGUUAUAAUCAUAAAAGACUUACUAAUGUAAAUUGUAAAAUGCACGUAAAUGACAAAUAUCAACAAGAAGAAGAAGAAGCAAGAAGCAUACUCUUGCACAAGAGAGCCCUACAAGAGAUAAAGAGCGAGAGCAAAAUAGAUCAUAGUGUUUCUUUGUGAGGGAAAAAUUAUACCCACUAAUGUGUGAAGUUUUUAUGUUCCCAUUAUGUACGGUGGAAGUUUAAGUGGCCUACUGAUCCCGUUCACUUUGAGAAGGUUUUUCUAUGUUGAAUAUUUUUUGGUGUUACUUUGCUCAUUUUAUUAUGUCACUAGGGUUUAUUUUGAGUUCAAGGAGGAGAGGGAAAUUGUUGAGGCAUUUCCCAAUAAAAUGGAGAAACUCAGAUAGGUUGAAAUCUUAAUCACACAUUUUUGUGUAGCAAAUGUGAGGUAAAAAUUGUAAUCCAUCUGGAAUGAAAUGCAAGCAAAACUGAUAGUUGAAAAAUCAAUGUAUGUGAUUAAAAAUUUAGUCUCCAUAUAUCAGAUUUUCAUCUAUCCUUUUUGCUUAUAUUUCAUCCCAAAGGAAGUAUAUUGGAUGAAAUUUUUGAGAGACUAAAAAUAAAAAUUUGAAAAUUUAUAGGGAUCAAAACAUAUUUUAAUCCUUAUUGGGUUGAAAAAUUAUUCUAAAUUUCAUCAUAAUUUUUUUUUUGGUUGCAAAGAUAAUAAAAGGAACAAACAAGAAAGAAAAAGAAAACUGAAAAAACAAGCUUAAUAUUCCCUAAGGAAGAAAGUGCCAGUGACAUCGCUUCUAAGAAGAUUGGCGAGACCAGCAAGGGACGACUCAUAAAUAACAAGGCCAACAUCAAAAGAAGAUUCAAGCUUUGUAAGGAAAUUCGCACAAUAGGUCCCUUAUCUGAGAGUGUGCCAAACCGUAAAAGUACUUUGAAGAAGUAAAUCUUUUAUGUCUUGGAUAAUGACCGUAUAAACAUGGUAUUUCUCCAUGGACCAUUAAUAAAAUUCAUUUAAAUAAGAGAGUCAGAAUAACAAACUAGCUCCGUAUAACCCAAAUCUUUGGCCAUAAUUAGACCAUAAUAGAUAGCCGAAAGCUCAGCCAACAUAAUAUCAUCUGAGUCUAGAAUAAAACAUGAUUUCAUCAUAAAUUUGAUAGAACUAACAUUGUCAUAAAUUUGCUAGCAUUAACUCUAAGACCACCUACGGUGAAAGAUUUUUUUUUCUCCCCAUUUAACAACCUUCUAAAUUGACAUGUGUCUUUAGAAAAAUGAAUGCCUAUAUAGAUGUAUGUUUUAAAUUUAUGAAAAAUGCAAAUUUGUACAUUUAGGGCACAUGCAUGUUGAUAUAAAAAAACAAAAAGAACAAAAAUUCUAGGAAAAAAUAAAAAUUAGACCUAUUGAUUUUCACUCAGUCAUAUGAUGUUUUUUUGUUUUGUUUUGAAGGACUCAGUCAUAUGAUGUUAAGAUUUUCUUUUUUACUAAUGUUAAAAAUGAGUCGAACUUAGUUCAAUAAAUAUCUGGUCAACUUUAUUUUGACAAAAGAAAAUUGAUUAACUUGAAACUCAAGUUAAUUUGUUACAAACAACUUUUCUGGCUCGAACUCACUUAAAACAACUCGCUUCAAUGUGCGGUCUAUAGGGGGAGAGUGUGUAAAAGAGUACUUUUUCAACGUGGGAAGUCAAUAUGACAAUGUUCCCUAAUUCAGACUUUUGUCCAGUGCUCCCUUCUUGUUCUUCCUAUGAUUAAAUUCAAGAUAGCAGUUGGCACAUCACAACUAGGGCCGUUCCUACGAAUUUGGAGGUACGAUGCUGGAAGUGAAAUGAGACCUAUAAUAAAAUGCAACGUUGAUCAAGCUGUAAAAUAAAAUGUUGAGGUUGAACCAUAAAAUAAAAUUAAGACAUAAUUAGUAAUUAGCAACAUUAUCAAUUAUACAUGUUAAAACAGAGAAUAAUCAAAAACUUAUAAAAUUAGGAACAGAACAGUGUCAGUGUUGUUUUGGAAAGGGGAAAACGUUAAUCUCUAUUUGAACUUCUAUAACUUAUAAAAUUAUGCAUGUUAAUCUCUAUUUGAACUUGUCAGCCUCAUAAAAUUUAUAAAAUUAAACCAUAAAUCAGCCAAUUUAGCAAUUUGAAAAACUCAUAAAAUUAAUCUCUAUUUGAAGAACUCAUAAAAUUAAUCUCUAUCAAUCGCUAUUCCAACAUUUAGCAAUUUUAACAUUCAAUAAAAAUCAGCCAAUUCCAUGAAAGGAAGUAAAAUAAAUCAAUGAAAGAGAGGUUAUUUACCUAAGGGAGUAACAGUGUCAGUGUUGUUUUGGAAAGGGGAAAACAUCAAUAGGAUGGUCGAUGAUGAUGAUGGUAUGGUCAAAAAUCGAAUUGGUUGAGAGAUGCAGUCAGAGGAAACGUUUGAGUAGUCGACAAUCGCGUUUGAAUCAUGAAGGAAGAAGAAAAACGAAAAAUUGAUGGUGAGAGGAAUGGAACGCGCGUUGGUAUGUAUCAGAGAAAGAGUAUUUUUUUUUUUAGUGGGGGGUACUGGGCUAUAAUUUUUUUUUAGGCCCAUACCCAAGGGAGGCUCGAUGCUAUAGCGCUGCUUGCACCCCAGGGUCCGGCCCUGGUCACAACCCUUUGAAACUCAAAACCAGAACCAAUAGCAACAUUUUUGUUGAAAUUUCUUGUUCUUCCUAUGAUAUUCAGACAAAAUCUUAAAUCUAUUUUGUUGAAAAAACUGAAAAUUUUGAAGGUUAAUAUCACUAUGUUCGAACGGCUACAUUGAACUAAGAACAUCUUUAAUGGGAGGUCCUUACUUAACAAGGACCACUCCCUGUUAAGAACCCCCAUUGGAGGAAGAAAAAAUGAAUCCCCAUUAAGGAACAGGUAACUAUAUAAGAAUCCCCUCUCUCCUAGGUAACUAACGGAUUUCACGUUUAAAAGAAGUAAUAAAAUAUGUAAUAUGUGGUCCCGCUUACAAAAGAAGUAAUAUUUUAAUAAUUAAUAGUUGUUUUAAAUAUUAUUUUAUCUAUUUAUCAUCAUUUUAAAUAAAAUGUAAUUCAUGCAAAUUAUUAUUAUUUUUUAACGAAUGAAUGUAAAAUUUGUAAUGAUAUUUUUUCCAUUUUCAAAUUAUUAGCAAAUGUGGCAGAAAUUUAAGUUUAUACGAAUAAAUAAAUAUUUUAUAAUUUAAUUUUUUUAAGGAUUAUAAUUAAUAAAUUAGUAAAUAAAUAUUUUUUAAGUUUUUACAAAUGUGGUCAUUUAUAAUUUAGUAAAUAAAUUAUUUUUGUUUAAUGAUGUAAAGUUAGUGGGGCCUAUUUAAGUACUUUUUAUUGGAGUCCUUAUUAGUGUACUCUCAUUGGAGCCAUUGAGUCAUUAAUAUGUAUUUUUAUUAAAAUAUUAUAAAUAAAUGAUGUGUAACAUGGGGUCCAUUUAAGGAGUCCCUAUUAAGGAACUACCAUUGUAGAUGCUCUUACUUAACAAGGACUACUCCCCGUUAAGAACCCUCCAUUGGAGGAAGAAAAAACGAGUCCCCCUUAAGGAACGAGUAACUAUAUAAGGACCUCUCUCUCCUGGGUAACUAACGAGUCUCACGUUUAAAAAAAAUAAUAAAAUGUGUACUACUUGGUCCCACUUGCAUAAAUGAGUAAUAAAAUGUGUACUACUUGGUCCCACUUGUAAAAAGGAGUAAUAUGUAAAUUAUUUUUCUUUAAUGAUGUAAAGAUAGUGGGACAUAUUUAUAUUUAAGUACUUUUCUUUGGAGUCCUUAUUAGUGUAUUGUCAUUAGAGUCAUUGAGUCCUUAAUAGGUACUUUUAUUAAAAUUAUAAAUAAGCGAUGUGUUUCGUGGGAUCCAUUUAAGAAGUCCUUGUUAGGAAACUAUCAUUGUGGAUGCUCUAAGCGUUGGUACGAAGCACAAAGAUGCAUUUAAUUUUAUAUGGUUUAUAUCUAAUCCUUUCCCAACAAAAUCAACACUUAAGGAAGAAAAAAAAUGCAUAAAAUCUUCAAUGUGAUAAAAAAAAAAGGGUCAUGUUAACUAGUGCCCCCGGGGCACUAGUUAAGAAAACUAUAAAGAGAAAAUUUUAAAUUAAAAAAAACACUUUAUUGACUUUUAAGGGAUUGCCAACACAAUUUUCAAUGUAAAUACAUACUAUAUUUAGUUCUUAACUAAACUAGUGCCCCGAGGGCACUGGUUAAGAUUCCCUGACAAAAUAGCAACUCAAUAUGAGAAUUUGAUGGAACUGUAAUUUUUUUUUUUGUAUUACUAUAUAAAUAAUAAAUGUGGGAAAAUGCAAUAUACUCGUAUACGGGUCGGUUUGAUAGACUUUUUUUUAUAAGUCUAAGCCUAGUCUAUUUAGAUUAAUAGGCUUUUAAAAAGCUCAUAUUUAACCUAUUUAUUAAACGAGUUAGACCGAAUUUUUGGUAGGUCGAGCCAUAGACCCUAACGGACGAUUUGACCUAUUCCCACAUGUAACUGAUCUGUUAGAGCACAAUACAGCUCACAAGUACUACAAAUAAGACUAAGAUAACAUAAUUAUAAGACUAAUAUAGGGUAAUUAAAAGAAUAAGAUAAAGUAAUUUUUUAAAAGACCCAAAUUAAAAACAUAUAGGACUAAGAAAAAGUAAUUUGAAAAAUAUUGUAUCAACUGUUAACAUAUGCAGCUCACAAGUACUACAAAAGUAGUACAACGAAGACCAAUACAAAUCAUAUAGAUGUACCGUAAAUAGUGUUUUUGAAAAAUUGCAUGAUAAGUAUUCUCUUCUCUCUCUUUUUUUACUCAAAUAUUCUCUUGAUGAUAAGUAUUAAAAAUUGAAAAAAUUGUAUUAAAAUUUACGUAAAUAAUAUUUUCAUGAUGUCAUAGUGGCCAGCAUUCCCACUACAUAAUGUGAGGCAAUUGAUUAUUUAGAAAAAUGAUAAACCUAAUCACUUGGACUGAAGUUUUGUUGUAACUUGAAGAGGUUGACAAGAGAUUAAUUAAAGCAUGUUGUUCUUAAAUAUUCUCUAAUUCAUUUUGUUUAUAGCAUAUGAGUAAGUGUGAUACUAUUCAAGUCUUCGCUCCUCUCUUUUUUCCCUUAAAUGCAAAUGUAAUGAUGAAUCAAAUGAUAAGAAAUGCUGAUUGAAGCAGCAGACAAAAUAAUCAAACAAAAACAAGAGGGAGCUAGCCAAGCCACAAAAAGAAAUGAAAACAGCUCUAAGUAACAAACAAGCCAAUUACGAUGAAACACAAGACUAAUUAGUUAAUUUAGUAAAAAAAAGACUAAUUAGUUAAUUUAGUAAAAAAUAAGACUAAUUAGUUAAUUAAGUAAAAAAAAUAAGACUAAUUAGUUAAAUUGAUACCAAUUAAGACCCGACCUCUAACAAUGAAGUUUGUCGCAUAUUAUGUAAAGAAGCCGAUGGAGGUACCUUACACUUUCGGUUUAACUUAUUGUACAAUUCCGAAUAAGAUUACCGAAAGUAUAAUUUAAAGACUAAAUUGUUUAGCCUAUGGAGUAUUUCAGAGACUAAACUAAUUAACUAGAUCUUAGUUUGAAUUAGUCGAUUGGACCAACCAACCAAGUUGUAUUCUCUCCAAUUGUCAAUUUCAUAUCUUUAAACUAAUUUUUUGUGCAAGUUAACUUUUUAAUUAUGUUUUGUUUUUAAUCAGAACACCUUGUAUCUGAAUUGGAUUAUGAUGUUUCAACAACAAUUAAAUUUUUUUUUGUCAAAACAACAAUUAUUAGUUAUUAUCCCUUAAAAAAAAAAAAAUUAGUUAUUAUGGCCCCGUUUGGAUAAACAACUUAUAUAGAUGCUUAUAGCAUUAGAGCUUAUAACAUUAGAGCUUACAUCAUAAACUCUUAUACUUGAUAAACUAUUUAUGUUUGGAUAUGUACACUAAAAAGUACUUACAUAAAUUGAAGUGUUUGGAUGUGACAUUACAUAAACAAUUAUCGAAAUUUUAAAUAUUUUUAAUUUAACAAAAAAAAUUAAAGAAUCGAACCACAAUUGUCAAGAUUUUUUUUGAUAAAAUUAAUCAAGAUGUAAAAAACAAUAUUAUAAUAUAUUAAUUAUAAUUAUAUAUAUAGUAUAAUCAAUAUUCGUCUUUAAAAAAUAUCAAUAUUCAUAUAAGACAAAAUUAACAUUUGAGGUGUAAAUAAAUAGUCUAAACAUCAUCAUACACAAGUAUAAUAAUAUAUGAUAAGCUUUCUUUUAAAAAAAAGUAUAAAAAUAUAAAUAUAAACUUGAGAAAUUAUGAUUGUAAACUUACCAUAUAUGUAGAUAUUAAUGUACAGUUUGUUACAAAAAAUGAAAGAUAAGUUAAGUUUAUUUUUUUAUUCAGUUUCAUUUUGUUACGAAACAAAAAAAUAAUAAAAAUCUUAGUUACGUGUGUUACUUUAGUAAGAUAAGUAUAUAACAAUUUUGUUACUCAUGCACAAUCAAAGAUAACUAACAUUAUAAUUAAAAUAUAUGUUUUUUUUAAAACAAAAAAAUAAAAAUAAAAUAUAUGUUUUGAAAAAGUGGAUCCAGAGAGAAUCGAAGGUUACAUAAAUUCAUAAGCUCCUUGUUAAGCCCCGUAAACUGAAAAUUCAGGCUUAUUAAAAUAUGGCAUAAGCAGCUUAUGAAACUAUGAUAAACUAUUUUUAUUUAUUUACCCAAACACCUUUAAAAAGGAUUAUGAGAGUAGAUAAGCCCACAUAAGCUCAAAAUAAGUCAAUUACGGAGCCUGUAUGUUUCAACAAUAUAAACAACGUGAUUCCGAAAGAAAACCAAAAGAAGUAGUUUUUCUUUGAAAAUAACAACUUUUUAGUUUUUAACAAAACAUUUUUAUAUUUUUUUGUACAAAAUUGAAUUUACCACUUUUCAUAAAUUUCUCAACAACGUGAAUUUACCACUUUUCAUAAAUUUCUCAACAAAACAUUUUUAUAUUUUGUUGUCUUAAUCAAUAUUAUAAGAGCACUCUUUAUCAUUAUUUUUUUUAAUUAAUAUGACCAAUUGAAACAAAAAUAAAUUAAACUCUAAUGGUUAAUAAGUUCGACCAAAUGUGAAUCAUUUGAAAAACUGAAGUUUAGAGGGUUAACAACCACAAAUACGACCAAUCGAUUGUCCACUUUCUUUAUUCAAUGUUUGGAAUGGUCUUCCUUCAUGUUUAGCAAGUAGCAGAACUAACAUAUUUUUAUAGUAAGCAAGAGGACUUUUGAUAUAAAUUAAAAUCACUCAAUCAUUCAAAAUGUCAAGAUAACGUAACGUGGUUGACUUUAUUAGGUAGGUAGUAUGUUUUUUAUAUUGAAUAAAUCAUUUGCCACAUGUGGCAUAUCAUAGUACACUAACUUUUUAUAUUAUAUGCACUACUAAGUACCAAUAUAAAUUAUAACCUAUAGAAACAACUCUCGCUUAUGAAUUUGAACAUCAUUUGAUCAAAAUCACAAACAAAAAAUGAUGCCUCUACGCUUAUAUUUGACAAUUGUACUAAUAGCAAUUGCAUUUUCAUUUACAUCUUUUGCAAUUGAUACAAGUCCUCAUGAAGAUAAUUUCCUUCAAUGUCUCUAUAGUUAUUCACAUAACAUAACUUCAAUCUCUAAAGUUGUGUACACAAAAACCAAUUCCUCUUACUCAUCAAUACUCAAAUUUUCAAUUCAAAACCUCAGAUUUGCAACCAAUGAAACACCAAAACCCCUUGUCAUUAUCACACCUACACAAAUUUCCCAUAUUCAAACAGCCAUAAUCUGUUCCCAACACCAUGGCAUGCAAAUUCGAAUUCGUAGUGGUGGCCACGACUUCGAGGGUCUCUCCUUUGUUUCAAAUGUUCCUUUUGUAAUCAUUGAUCUCACAAACUUUAGAGGAAUUGAUGUAGAUGUAGAAAACAGAACUGCUUGGGUUCAAUCUGGUGCAACCCUUGGUGAACUUUACUACAAAAUUGCCCAAAAAAGCAAAACUCUUGGUUUCCCUGGAGGUGUUUGUCCUACUGUAGGUGUUGGUGGACACUUCAGUGGUGGUGGCUAUGGAACCUUGUUGCGUAAAUACGGUCUUGCGGCCGAUAACGUCAUUGAUGCUCACAUAAUUGAUGUGAAGGGUAGGUUUCUUGACAGAGAAGCAAUGGGUGAAGAUUUGUUUUGGGCUAUUAGAGGUGGUGGAGGAGCAAGUUUUGGUGUCAUAGUUUCAUGGAAGAUUAAACUUGUUCAAGUUCCAUCAACUGUAACGGUGUUUACUGUUCCAAGAACAUUGGAACAAAAUGCAACAAAGCUUGUUCACAAGUGGCAGUUUGUAGCUCAUAAACUUGAAGAAAACUUAGCCAUUAAUAUUAUCUUGCAAAGGCUAGAUUUAAAUUCAAGUAAACAAGGUGAGCCAAAGUCAACAGUACUAGCUUUAUUUCAAUCCUUGUUUCUAGGAAGUGUAGAUAACCUCUUACCCUUGAUGGAAGAAAAGUUUCCUGAACUUGGUUUGGUUAGAGAAGAUUGUGUUGAAAUGAGUUGGAUUGAAUCAGUUCUUUACCUUUUUCGGUUUCCAGAAGGCGAACCACUUGAAACGUUGCUCAACAGAACACUAGCUGCAAAGGAUAAUUCCAAAGCGAAAUCUGAUUUUGUCAAAAUUCCUAUUCCUGAAACUGGUUUAGAAGGAUUAUGGCCUUUGUUUGAUGAAGAUGGUGCGGAAGAUGUACUAAUGGUAUUGUUUCCUUAUGGUGGCAUAAUGGAUAAGAUUUCAGAAUCUGAAAUUCCAUUUCCACAUAGAUAUGGAACCUUAUACAAAAUUCAAUAUGCAGUGCACUGGCAUCAAGAAGGUGAUGAGGUGGAAAAGUUGCACAUCAAUUGGAUUAGAAAACUUUAUAGUUAUAUGGAACCUUUUGUUUCAAAGUCUCCAAGAGCUGCAUAUAUUAAUUAUAGAGACCUUGAUAUUGGGGUGAAUAACAUUAAUGGAUACACAAGCUACAAGCAAGCUAGUAUUUGGGGUGUUAAGUACUUCAAGAACAACUUCAAAAGAUUGGCAAAAGUGAAGACAAAAGUUGAUCCUCUAAACUUCUUCAGAAAUGAACAAAGUAUACCUUCUCAUGUGUCCAAGGGACGCAAAUAGAAUUUCUUGGAGCUCAAAAGGUCAUAGUAAUAAAAUACAAGCUGCUUUGUUAUUUCUCAAUGAUAGUUAUCUUUUAUAUGUGUACUUUUAAUUUAUACUCAUACUUAAGAAAGGAAUGAAU
rnacentral:lncRNA from 1 species